CAAAAGAAUACUGCUGGUCAAAGAUUUUCCCGGAUCAAGCGGAAACAAGUUUUGAGAAUAUGAAAAUCAAACCAUCCGAGGAACGCAGCCAAGAAUAAGCGGUAGUACGCGAAGUCAGAGCCGAAAUUACUGCAAAAAGCAACUUGAAGCAAAAACACUCAGUAGCAUUUAUCGCACUAACGGAUCAUUUCCAGCCAAAGUUAUCAAGGACCUAUUACUUGUUGUAGAGUACACCAAGGAGAUUUGAUCGAAUCCAAAUAAUCUAGACGAAGACUACGCGACAGAAUGAUAAAACGACGCAGAUAAUCCAGAUUGGGCUUCGGUCGGCGUAUCAUGCGGAGAUAUAAAACUAUUACUAAUGCCGACGGUGUGGAAGGAAGGCAGAGCUCCACUCAACCAAACUGAAGAAGUAAAAGCUUGGAUUGUGAACUGCAACAGCUAGGAAUAGACAGUUGAUUUAGAACGAUGCUCUAAAACAUUGAGGCAGAGUAUUACUAAACCAACAAUAUCAUACGGUACAAAUUGAAGCAAUCAACCCUGCAGAGACCCUUGACAAAACAGCAACUCGGUAGAAGAGGAAAACUACUCGGAUCCAAUGACACGGAUUCUAACGCCGAUUCCAUUGGCAUUAAGUGGCAGGCAUUGAUCCUUCCUAAUAACCUUGUUACUUAACGGUGACCGAGUAACAGAUUGGUGGCUAUCAAAUAGCAUACGGUACCUAUGUCAAGUGCGGUUCGAUUUGCAGCAUUCAUAAACCAUUCCGCCAAACUUUUAACCAUUUACAUACCACGUACCAAUGCAAUGGUUCAGUUGUUGGAAAAAUUAGCAUGCAAUGCUCCCGGUAGCAUCUUGGCCGUCACGAUAACCGAAACUUUCGUCAUUCCGGUAUCAUUGGAUCAAACAGAUGUUAAGCAUGUCCGCAAUUGACCGUAAAUGAGCGGACACGAGAAAGUUGAGACCAAGAUCCACAAAGUCUUGUUUGCAUCUUUUUGGGAAUGUACGAGCGACCUACAAUGCGACAUCUAAAUCGUACUUUGAAGGUUAUUUGAAAUAUUAAAUUAUUUUUAU